CGGUGUGAUCAUUCCAAUGAUAAAGCACCGGAUCCCAUCAUAACUCUGUAGUUAAGCACACUUGGGAUAGAAUAGUACUGGGAUGGGUGACCUACCGGGAAGUCCUAGUGUUGCAUCCU
rfam:Picea glauca, whole genome shotgun sequence.